GCAGCCGCGGUAAUUCCAGCUCCAAUAGCGUAUAUUAAAGUUGUUGCAGUUAAAAAGCUCGUAGUUGGAUCUCGGGUCCAGGCUGGCGGUCCGACGCCUGUCGGUUACUGCCUGCUCCUGACCUACCUCCCGGUUUUUUCGCCCUUGGUGCUCUUGACUGAGUGUCUCGGGUGGCCGGAACGUUUACUUUGAAAAAAUUAGAGUGUUCAAAGCAGGCAAUAUCGCCUGAAUAAUGGUGCAUGGAAUAAUGGAAUAGGACCUCGGUUCUAUUUUGCUGGUUUUCGGAGCUCGAGGUAAUGAUUAAGAGGGACUGACGGGGGCAUUCGUAUUACGGUGUUAGAGGUGAAAUUCUUGGAUCGCCGUAAGACGAACUACUGCGAAAGCAUUUGCCAAGCA
rnacentral:rRNA from 1 species